GGGGUCAGGCACCGGUAAAACGCCGACGGUGCGCUCGUCGCCCUCUAGCGGCCAGGAGGACGCAUGCUGGACUCCGCUCCGCCCUCUUCCACAGGGGCGCAUGCGCGGACUACUGCGGGCAUUGCUAGGGACGCCCGCCGGGGACUAGGGAGUUAAGAGCUGUUGCAAAAUCCCGAGUAGCUAAAGUGUAAGGCGGAGAUCUUCCAACCUCUUCAGAGGGUAGAGUGCAAAGUCAUGGUGCCUGCAAAAGCCAAAAGAAGAUGUCUGAUGCCCUGGAGAAGGCGAUAAGGGCAGUUUUAAGCCACUUGAUGUGCUGGGGACCCGAACUCUGCAAGAGCCAUACACACUCUUAUCUCCCCAGUCCUUGUUUGCAACAUUAAACUCAUUCUGCUCUGCAUCAAAA